UCUACGGGAGGCAGCAGUGGGGAAUAUUGGACAAUGGGCGAAAGCCUGAUCCAGCCAUGCCGCGUGUGUGAAGAAGGCCUUCGGGUUGUAAAGCACUUUCAGUGGGGAAGAAAGCCUUGGGGCUAAUACCCUCGAGGAAGGACAUCACCCACAGAAGAAGCACCGGCUAACUCCGUGCCAGCAGCCGCGGUAAUACGGAGGGUGCGAGCGUUAAUCGGAAUUACUGGGCGUAAAGCGCGCGUAGGCGGUCUGAUAAGCCGGUUGUGAAAGCCCCGGGCUCAACCUGGGAACGGCAUCCGGAACUGUCAGGCUAGAGUGCAGGAGAGGAAGGUAGAAUUCCCGGUGUAGCGGUGAAAUGCGUAGAGAUCGGGAGGAAUACCAGUGGCGAAGGCGGCCUUCUGGACUGACACUGACGCUGAGGUGCGAAAGCGUGGGUAGCAAACAGGAUUAGAUACCCGUGUAGUC
rnacentral:rRNA from 1 species